GGAGGCGGACGGGGGCUGGUGUCCCCCCCGGACUUCAAAUCCGGUGGCCCCGCUUGGAGCGGGGUGGUGGGUUCGAUUCCCAUCCGCCUCCGCCA
rnacentral:tRNA from 1 species